CAUUUCCGACAGCCCCUGAACGCAUCACCGGGCUGCUCCGCUUCAGCUUGGAGCGGGCAGCGCCACGCAUGAGUCAGGGAGCGACCUCUGAAGGAAGCGGAGCAUCUGGAGAAGCGUCCAGGUUGCGUCUCCAUCAGGAUGCCCUCAGCACCGUUUGGGGUCAAAUCUGCAGAGCGUCCAUGAUGUUUUUUUGCAGCGUCGCCUCGGGCGCAGACGCUCGCUCCAGUUCUGCUGCUUGGGACCGGAAAGCGCAGGAAGCCGCCGUCAGGAAGCAUUAUGCCUGAGGACGCGGCUGAGGUUGAGGGUCCUGUUUUUGACGAGUUGAUGGACAGGAAUCUCUUCCCUGCCUGUGGAUUUGACAUUCAUGCACCAUAACUGGGAAUCGGUUGGGAAGGUGGACUGAAAUACUCUGAGCAGGUGUUUCCCUUCGUUCCUGAAAAGGUUUGGUGUUUGGGUGGGAGUUCGGGGUCAAAGGUUGGAUAUUUGGCGGUUGGAUGAAGAUGGAGGCCGGAGCGGAGGCGAGCCCACAUCAGCACCAGAGGAGGAAGCCUGUGCUGCAUGGACUGGAGGACCAGAAGAGGGAGCCCAUUGUUGAAAUACUGGAGCAACAGUCAGCGUCCUUCAGCAAUUACCUUGGCUUUGUGGGUCUGAGAUGCUGCGUGCGAUCCUCACCCUGCAGGAGAUAAUUGGAUUUUUGUUCCCUCUGUGGAUCUGCUGCCACACGUCUCCUGCUCUGCGUAUUAAAGUUCGAUGAGCAGCAAUCACAGACCUGCGCGGAGAAGGCCCGAAACGGAUGCGUUGCAUCACGAGGAGCAG